rnacentral:snRNA from 1 species
AUACUUACCUGGACGAGGUCUAUGGGCGAUCAAAAAGGCUCAUGGCCUGGGUUGGUGACCUCCAUUGCACUUAGGAGGGGUGCCCGCCUAGGCUCAUUCCUCAUUUUACCUUUUUGUCUGGUAUAAAAUCCAUUCAGAAUUGAUUAUAAAUCAGUAUGUUUCCAUCCAUUACUUUG